GAUGAACGCUAGCUACAGGCUUAACACAUGCAAGUCGAGGGGCAGCACGUAGGUAGCAAUACUGAGGUGGCGACCGGCGCACGGGUGCGUAACGCGUAUCCAACCUUCCCGUUACUCUUGGAUAGCCUUCCGAAAGGGAGAUUAAUACAAGAUGGUAUUCAAAUUCCGCAUGUUAUUUGAAUUAAAGAUUUAUCGGUAACGGAUGGGGAUGCGUGACAUUAGGUAGAUGGCGGGGUAACGGCCCACCAUGCCUACGAUGUCUAGGGGUUCUGAGAGGAAGGUCCCCCACACUGGAACUGAGACACGGUCCAGACUCCUACGGGAGGCAGCAGUGAGGAAUAUUGGUCAAUGGUCGGAAGACUGAACCAGCCAAGUAGCGUGAAGGAUGAAGGUUCUAUGGAUUGUAAACUUCUUUUAUACGGGAAUAAAACCUCCCACGUGUGGGAGCUUGUAUGUACCGUAUGAAUAAGCAUCGGCUAACUCCGUG
rnacentral:rRNA from 1 species